AGUCUGAUUCGGGUCGGGUUCGGGUCCGAUCGGGUCUAAUUUUUUUGUGCUUUUGGGAAAAAAUUUGGGCAAAUCUAAUUUGGUCAUAUCAUAAUUAUGAGGUGCUGGGUGACCCAUGACUUGAAAGACUUGCAAUUGAGCUCCAGUCAGAACAGAUGACCCAUGACUUACUAACUAAGUCGGUCUACAAGCCAAAUUUCAUAUCACACUAUUUUUUAUCUGUAUGA
rnacentral:lncRNA from 1 species